UCGGGAAUUUUGGGCAAUGGGCGAAAGCCUGACCCAGCAACGCCGCGUGAAGGAUGAAAUCCCUCGGGAUGUAAACUUCGCAAGAACGGGAAGAAUAAGUAGGGGACAAUACCCCCUAUGAUGACGGUACUGUUUGUAAGCUCCGGCUAACUCCGUGCCAGCAGCCGCGGUAAUACGGGGGGAGCAAGCGUUGUUCGGAUUUACUGGGCGUAAAGGGCGCGUAGGCGGCCACCGCAAGUCGACUGUGAAAUCUCCGGGCUUAACUCGGAAAGGUCAGCCGAUACUGCGGGGCUAGAGUGCAGAAGGGGCAACUGGAAUUCUCGGUGUAGCGGUGAAAUGCGUAGAUAUCGAGAGGAACACCUGCGGCGAAGGCGGGUUGCUGGGCUGACACUGACGCUGAAGUGCGAAAGCUAGGGGAGCGAACGGGAUUAGAUACCCCGGUAGUCCUGGCCUUAAACGAUGAAUGCUUGGUGUCUGGGGUUUUAUAGUCCCCGGGUGCCGUCGCUAACGCUUUAAGCAUUCCGCCUGGGGAGUACGGUCGCAAGACUGA
rnacentral:rRNA from 1 species